GACGAACGCUGGCGGCGUGCUUAACACAUGCAAGUCGAACGGAAAGGCCCUGCUUUUGUGGGGUGCUCGAGUGGCGAACGGGUGAGUAACACGUGAGUAACCUGCCCUUGACUUUGGGAUAACUUCAGGAAACUGGGGCUAAUACCGGAUAGGAGCUCCUGCUGCAUGGUGGGGGUUGGAAAGUUUCGGCGGUUGGGGAUGGAUUCGCGGCUUAUCAGCUUGUUGGUGGGGUAGUGGCUUACCAAGGCUUUGACGGGUAGCCGGCCUGAGAGGGUGACCGGCCACAUUGGGACUGAGAUACGGCCCAGACUCCUACGGGAGGCAGCAGUGGGGAAUAUUGCACAAUGGGCGGAAGCCUGAUGCAGCAACGCCGCGUGCGGGAUGACGGCCUUCGGGUUGUAAACCGCUUUCGCCUGUGACGAAGCGUGAGUGACGGUAAUGGGUAAAGAAGCACCGGCUAACUACGUGCCAGCAGCCGCGGUGAUACGUAGGGUGCGAGCGUUGUCCGGAUUUAUUGGGCGUAAAGGGCUCGUAGGUGGUUGAUCGCGUCGGAAGUGUAAUCUUGGGGCUUAACCCUGAGCGUGCUUUCGAUACGGGUUGACUUGAGGAAGGUAGGGGAGAAUGGAAUUCCUGGUGGAGCGGUGGAAUGCGCAGAUAUCAGGAGGAACACCAGUGGCGAAGGCGGUUCUCUGGGCCUUUCCUGACGCUGAGGAGCGAAAGCGUGGGGAGCGAACAGGCUUAGAUACCCUGGUAGUCCACGCUGUAAACGGUGGGUACUAGGUGUGGGGUCCAUUCCACGGGUUCCGUGCCGUAGCUAACGCUUUAAGUACCCCGCCUGGGGAGUACGGCCGCAAGGCUAAAACUCAAAGGAAUUGACGGGGCCCCGCACAAGCGGCGGAGCAUGCGGAUUAAUUCGAUGCAACGCGUAGAACCUUACCUGGGUUUGACAUGGAUCGGGAGCGCUCAGAGAUGGGUGUGCCUCUUUUGGGGUCGGUUCACAGGUGGUGCAUGGCUGUCGUCAGCUCGUGUCGUGAGAUGUUGGGUUAAGUCCCGCAACGAGCGCAACCCUUGUUCACUGUUGCCAGCACGUUAUGGUGGGGACUCAGUGGAGACCGCCGGGGUCAACUCGGAGGAAGGUGGGGAUGACGUCAAGUCAUCAUGCCCCUUAUGUCCAGGGCUUCACGCAUGCUACAAUGGCUGGUACAGAGAGUGGCGAGCCUGUGAGGGUGAGCGAAUCUCGGAAAGCCGGUCUCAGUUCGGAUUGGGGUCUGCAACUCGACCUCAUGAAGUCGGAGUCGCUAGUAAUCGCAGAUCAGCAACGCUGCGGUGAAUACGUUCCCGGGGCU
rnacentral:rRNA from 1 species